AGUGAACGCUGGCGGUAGGCCUAACACAUGCAAGUCGAACGGCAGCACAGUAAGAGCUUGCUCUUACGGGUGGCGAGUGGCGGACGGGUGAGGAAUACAUCGGAAUCUACUUUUUCGUGGGGGAUAACGUAGGGAAACUUACGCUAAUACCGCAUACGACCUACGGGUGAAAGCAGGGGAUCUUCGGACCUUGCGCGAUUGAAUGAGCCGAUGUCGGAUUAGCUAGUUGGCGGGGUAAAGGCCCACCAAGGCGACGAUCCGUAGCUGGUCUGAGAGGAUGAUCAGCCGCACUGGAACUGAGACACGGUCCAGACUCCUACGGGAGGCAGCAGUGGGGAAUAUUGGACAAUGGGCGCAAGCCUGAUCCAGCCAUACCGCGUGGGUGAAGAAGGCCUUCGGGUUGUAAAGCCCUUUUGUUGGGUAAAAAAAGCAGCAGGUUAAUACCCCGCUGUUCUGACGGUACCCAAAGAAUAAGCACCGGCUAACUUCGUG
rnacentral:rRNA from 1 species